GACGAACGCUGGCGGCGUGCUUAACACAUGCAAGUCGAACGGAAAGGCCCUGCUUUUGUGGGGUGCUCGAGUGGCGAACGGGGGAGUAACACGUGAGUAUCCUGCCCUUGACUUUGGGAUAACUUCAGGAAACUGGGGCUAAUACCGGAUAGGAUCUCCUGCUGCAUGGUGGGGGUUGGAAAGUUUCGGCGGUUGGGGAUGGACUCGCGGCUUAUCAGCUUGUUGGUGGGGUAGUGGCUUACCAAGGCUUUGACGGGUAGCCGGCCUGAGAGGGUGACCGGCCACAUUGGGACUGAGAUACGGCCCAGACUCCUACGGGAGGCAGCAGUGGGGAAUAUUGCACAAUGGGCGGAAGCCUGAUGCAGAAACGCCGCGUGCGGGAUGACGGCCUUCGGGUUGUAAACCGCUUUCGCCUGUGGCGAAGCGUGAGUGACGGUAAUGGGUAAAGAAGCACCGGCUAACUACGUG
rnacentral:rRNA from 1 species